GACGAACGCUGGCGGCGUGCUUAACACAUGCAAGUCGAACGGAAAGGCCCUGCUUUUGUGGGGUGCUCGAGUGGCGAACGGGUGAGUAACACGUGAGUAACCUGACCUUGACUUUGGGAUAACUUCAGGAAACUGGGGCUAAUACCGGAUAGGAGCCCCUGCUGCAUGGUGGGGGUUGGAACGUUUCGGCGGUUGGGGAUGGACUCGCGGAUUAUCAGCUUGUUGGUGGGGUAGUGGCUUACCAAGGCUUUGACGGGUGGCCGGCCUGCGAGGGUGACCGGCGACAUGGGGACUGAGAUACGGCCCAGAGUCCUACGGGGGGCAGCAGUGGGGAAUAUUGCACAAUGGGCGGAAGCCUGAUGCAGCAACGCCGCGUGCGUGAUGACGGCCUGCGGGUUGUAAACCGCUUUCGCCUGUGACGAAGCGUGAGUGACGGUAAUGGGUAAAGAAGCACCGGCUAACUACGUG
rnacentral:rRNA from 1 species